UAAUCCGGGAACAGCUGACAUCAGCUUCCGUUAGUCAACUCCAACAGAUCGAACCUUUCGAUUGUAACUGGAACGAUUUGCAUACUGAUUCCUUUUCAUAGGCACCGAGGUACAUAACAGAGCAGAGCUAUUCGAAUGCAAGUGGCAUUACGAGGAUAUACUGGCCCCAAAACAGGCUCUUCACCCCACGGCCAAGGAUUAAGGCUGGACUCUGAUUUUUUUUUUUCUCUUCUUAAUUUUGUUCCAUUUUCUUGAUUUUUUUUUUUCGGCGAUGGCUUCGAAAGCCAGAAGGGCGAGAGAUAGGAUGGGACGGCGGGAGGUGGGGAGAGAGGGCAAGGGGACGCCUGGUCCUUCCCUCAAAGUGCAGAGGACUGGCCGGAGAGGUGUUGUGAUUAGCCGGCCGCGGGCAUCGAAAAGGCGACACCCGGACAAGCUGAGAAAGUUUAUUGUUAGCAACCAUCCCGCACCCGAACCCUCUACUCCCUUCUGCGCCUCCCCCUCCCCCUUCUCCGACCAAGAGAAGGACCUUGGAAGAGCGGCCCGUCUUCCCAUUCAAAUUAUGCAGAUCUGUUUUCCUUGGACCAUGUCCGAUAUUUGACUCUUGCAGGAUGGGGUUUUUUUUUAAAAAGGUGCAACAUGCCCCGAAACGGCUGCAAAUGUGUUAUUAAACGUGGAUUUCGGAUUUGACUUUGACCGAAUCUAUAAAGUGUGUUAUCGACAAUUUAUUUCCAAAAUAAAAAAAUGAACACAAGUCAGAUGACUUUAACGGCACAAAAUGAAAGGCGAUAUAAAAUGUGGAUUACAAAAUGGUGUUUAAAAUUAAACUUUACUGAUGACUUUUAAUAACAUGUAGGUUCCAAGAAGCUCAACAGGCGAAAGUACAAAAAAAAAGAGUCCGGUUAAUCUGCUGAAGCAGCAGCUGUUGGCUUUUGGAGUCUUGAAGCGCCACCUUUGACACGUCCCUUUUCAAUCAAGGCAGACCAGCAGCAACUGACCACUACAGGCACCAUAAAAGAAGGACGAGAAGACGCCUGAUCAAGAUGCUGCCACAUUUACCCAUAACAGACCUUUCAACGUUUUGUUAGAUUAGCUGAUGCCGGCCUCUAUCUUUUUUUAAAUUUCAAAUGUGUGUGGAUUUUCACCCCCUCUCAGCCACCACCUCCCUCCCUCCCCGGCCCCAACAAACACACAAACACUGACCAAAUGAUUCAGGACCAUUAAUACUCACACAUACACAGAACAGCUUUAUUUUAAGAAUGGUCCGUGAACAAUAUGGGUUUUUAGUCUGAAGAAGGGUCUCGACCCGAAACGUCACCCAUCCCUUCUCUCCAGAGAUGCUGCCUGUCCCGCUGAGUUACUCCAGUAUUGUUGUGUCUAUAAUAUGGGUUUAUAUUAACGUUUUCUUCCAAUCCAAUGUCACACAAUUUUCCAUCAUAUAUAUUUGUUCUCUGAUUUAACCUCCAACUGGUUCGUAGCAGUUAAAUUGUUAUUCAAUUUUUAGAAAUUAAAUUAAAUUCCUGAAGCAGGCAGGUCCAAAAUAAACCUAUCCGCGGUGAUGUCUUCACAUAAGCGAAUUAAUUUAGGAAUCUAAUAUUUCCAUAAUAUCCUAUUGACAGCAUUAUAUAAAUGUCCGUCCGACCAACUAUUUGUCCAACCUAAUUCAUCGCAUUGACCAGGAUUCCGCUGAAUUAACACAAUCGAUAAUCAGAAUAUAAGUUAUUAAUUGAUAACAUUACUGAUGAACAUUGGAAUCUCGACAAUAGCUUGACAUGUAAUGGUUCCCCUUAAUAGUGAUUGUUUCAUUGUUGCCAAAGAUAUAUUGCAAAUAACUGCUGGACACUAGUGCUGUUUAACGCUUAUGCUAAGAUAAUGGCUUAAUGAUAUAACUGCUGUAAUGUAUCCAUCUUAAUGCUAAGUGGAGCUUGAUUAAACCGAUAAUAGUGAGCUC